AUGGGAUUGGGGGGCAUGAGAGGCGGCAUCGGGGGAGGGGGCGCCGGCUCGGGCGAGAGGUGGCGGUGGAUCCUCUUCCUCUCGCUGGUCUCCGUCUCCUUCCUCCUCUCGUUCCUCUUCCUCUUCCUCUCCGCCUACUCCUCCCCGACACGCCUCCGCCUCCCUGGGCUCACCACCGCCCGCGCCGCCGCCGGAGUCCGCCGCGGCCCCGACGCGCUCCCCUGCCUCGCCUACCUCCUCAUCGGCGCCCGGGGCGACGGGCACCGCCUCCUACGACUCCUCCUCGCAGUCUACCACCCACGCAACCGCUACAUCCUUCACCUCUCCGCCGACGCCUCCCACGAAGAGCGCCGGGACCUUGCUGCUGGGGUCGCCGCCGCGGCGCCCGCCGCUGUCUCUUUCGACAACGUCGCUCUUGUGGGCACGCCUACCGCGGGGACACCCGUCGGGUCGUCGGGCCUCGCCGGCACGUUACGCGCGGCUGCUGUCCUGCUCCGCCUCCACCCCGACUGGGACUGGUUCCUCACCCUCAACGCCGCCGAUUAUCCCCUCGUCACCCAGGACGAUUUGAUCCAUGCCUUGUCGUAUGUUCCAAGGGAAUUUAACUUCAUUGAUCACACUAGUGACAUUGGACGGAAAGAAUCUGAAAAAGUGCAAUCGAUGAUAGUGGAUGCUGGAAUAUACUUGUCAGGGAGGACCAACUUCUUCCGAGCCACACAGAAACGACCAAGUCCUGAUGCUUUCAAGUUCUUCACAGGUUCUCCAUGGGUUAUUCUGAACCGACGGUUUAUAGAGUACUGUGUUCUUGGUUGGGAGAAUCUUCCUCGGCUUCUUCUCAUGUACUUCAACAAUGUAAUGCUACCUCAGGAAGGAUAUUUCCACUCAGUCAUAUGCAACUCGCUUGACUUCCGUAAUUCCACUGUUAACAAUGACUUGAGGUACAAGGUGUGGGAUGAUCCACCUCAGACAGAGCCCCUUUUUCUCAGCAUGGCACAUUAUAAUAAGAUGGUGGACAGUGGACAGCCUUUUGCAAGGCGGUUUCAAGCGAAUGGACCGUUGCUGGACAAGAUCGAUGAGAAACUACUUAAGCGUCCGGGCCAUGGGCCUGUUCCUGGUGCCUGGUGCGCAGGAAGGAAGAGCUGGUUCAUUGACCCAUGUUCCCAGUGGAGCGACGUGAAUGUUGUGAAACCUGGUCCUCAAGCCUUGAAGUUGCAGCAAUAUAUCAAUUGGACCUUGGAAGAGGCAGAUUCUGGCGCAAAAUCGUGCAGGCUAUAG
rnacentral:rRNA from 1 species